UUUGGCACCUCGAUGUCGUCUCGUCACAUCCUGGAGCUGGAGCAGGUUCCAAGGGUCCGGCUGUUCGCCGGUUAAAGUGGCGCGUUAGAUGGGUUCAGUACGUCGUGAGACAGUACGGUCUCUUUCCACAACGAGCGUUUAGAGUUUGAGGGGACUCAUUUCUAGUACGAGAGGACCGAAAUGAUCAAACCGCUAGUGUACCAGUUGUCGUACCAACGGCAUCGCUGGGUAGCUACGUUUGGACGUGAUAAGUGCUGAAAGCAUCUAAGCACGAAGCACACCCCAAGAUGAAACUCUUUCAGCUAUAAGCUGACGCAACUCCUGGGAGAUCACCAGGUUGAUAGGUUGUAGGUGUAAGCACAGUAAUGUGUUCAGCCAAGCAAUACUAAUAGUUGCGCGUCUUCACCU
rnacentral:rRNA from 1 species